GACGAACGCUGGCGGCGUGCUUAACACAUGCAAGUCGAGCGGAAAGGCCACUUCGGUGGUACUCGAGCGGCGAACGGGUGAGUAACACGUGAGUAAUCUGCCCCUGGCUUUGGGAUAGCCACCGGAAACGGUGAUUAAUACCGGAUACGACCGCUUCUCGCAUGGGAUGGUGGUGGAAAGUUUUUUCGGCCAGGGAUGUGCUCGCGGCCUAUCAGCUUGAUGGUGAGGUAAUGGCUCACCAUGGCUUCGACGGGUAGCCGGCCUGGGAGGGUGACCGGUCACAGUGGGACUGAGGCACGGCCCAGUCUCCUACGGGAGGCAGCAGUGGGGAAUAUUGGACAAUGGGCGGAAGCCUGAUCCAGCAACGCCGCGUGGGGGAUGACGGCCUUCGGGUUGUAAACCUCUUUCAGCAGGGACGAAGCGCAAGUGACGGUACCUGCAGAAGAAGCACCGGCCAACUACGUGCCAGCAGCCGCCGUAA
rnacentral:rRNA from 1 species